rnacentral:lncRNA from 1 species
GGGGGAAAAGCGGCAAAUAACCAGCGUUAUCCGCAAAUAACCAGCUCUAUCGGCAAAUAACCAGUUCUGUCGGCAAAUAACCAGCGAUAUCGGGAAAUAAUCAGCCCUAUCGGCACCUCAUCGGCCCUAGCAGCUGCUCACACCAUGGGAAAAAAUCACUCUGUCACUGUCUUUCUAACAUCGCUAAACAAACCGACGAACACCCCCCGCUUCUUGGAUCAGGGUGUGAAAUUGAAUGCUAGGAGAGCUGAGCUGGGCUGCAGCAUGACUGGGCACCCAUCACUGUGUUCCUUUGAAGAAAGAAUCUGGCAAGCAGCAUUUUGUGGGUUCAUGCCUUAAAUAUGCACAUGAAGAAGGGGACAGAAGGGGAAGGAGAAGCCACCUCAAGCCAUCAGGAAGGGGCCACAUAACAGCAACAAAAUGAGCCAGCUCUUCUGUGAAA